ACCUGGGCUGGUACCCCUCCCUCGCUUCGGGGGAAAGAUUUAUCGGGGAUGGAUGAGCCCGCGUUGGAUUAGCUAGUUGGUGGGGUAAAGGCCUACCAAGGCGACGAUCCAUAGCUGGUCUGAGAGGAUGAUCAGCCACAUUGGGACUGAGACACGGCCCAAACUCCUACGGGAGGCAGCAGUGGGGAAUAUUGGACAAUGGGCGCAAGCCUGAUCCAGCCAUGCCGCGUGAGUGAUGAAGGCCCUAGGGUUGUAAAGCUCUUUCACCGAUGAAGAUAAUGACGGUAGUCGGAGAAGAAGCCCCGGCUAACUUCGUGCCAGCAGCCGCGGUAAUACGAAGGGGGCUAGCGUUGUUCGGAAUUACUGGGCGUAAAGCGCACGUAGGCGGAUAUUUAAGUCAGGGGUGAAAUCCCAGAGCUCAACUCUGGAACUGCCUUUGAUACUGGGUAUCUUGAGUAUGGAAGAGGUAAGUGGAAUUCCGAGUGUAGAGGUGAAAUUCGUAGA
rnacentral:rRNA from 1 species